CGCCUCCGUCACGUGACAUUCGGCGCCUUCUUCAAUGGUGGUCAAUCGGGGAUUGCCUGGAGAAGAACCCUGCCACAGUGCUCCACUGAAUGAUUUAAGAAGCAAAAGCUUUUAUUGGAGCUGAAAAAAUAUCCUCAGGAAGGACAUGAACUCCGGAGAUGUACUAUGUACCUUUGAAGGUGUCUCUUUUAAGGAAUUUGUCCCAGUGAAGAUGAAGAGUACAGGCUUCUGGCUGUUCAGCUGGCAGUAGUGCUCUAUCUACCUGGGUUAUGGCUUUAUCUUUUUGAUGCGUGUAUGUACCAGCAGGUGCACUGAGCAUUCAGCCUUCAUACCAUGAUGUUGAAUGGUGGGAGAAUGCAAAGAAUAACUAUUAUAUACAAACUCUCCUGCCCAGUGUGAUAAUGCUUGUGGAGCAGCCAUACCUGCAGUAGGACUGGUGUCACUCACAGGUUGAUCCUGGAGCUCUACAUUGCGGUAUAAUCGAAGUCCCUAAAGGCUUCCGCAAUCUCCUUUUCCAUGGCCAAGGAACCCUCGGAGGGAGGAGUUAGAACUAGAUGUUGAUCUCCAUCCUCGGAAAGUCUAACAUCCUCAGCAUCUCGUAUAUUACAAUGCCCAGAGACCACCAGUCGACAGAUCUUGAGUAUGGCUCCCUGGCGAGGACUUCUGGCGCCAUGUAGCCAAAAGAUCCUUUCAGGCUACUUGUUCGGCCUUCGUAGCCAAUUCCUGAAACAAACAGUUAUUGUAGCUCUUUAAGCAGCCGCCAGCAACGUGCUCCAUCAGAAAGAAUAGAUGGUAUUCUGACUGGAAGGUGGCGUGGAUAUCCACAAUGAAAGGGUGGUCAGCAACGGCGAAAGCAACCCGUUUCUCUAGCAAGAUCCUGAAUAUUAAAAGCAUUCAUUGUCAAAACAAGGGACAUGGGUAAGUAACAAAGCCAACCAUGCUAAAAUGAUCAUUUCCAUGAACUGACCUUUCAAUGCCCCUUGAGGAGGCGAUGCUCUCCUUUUUCAAGAUUUUCAGGGCAUAGGAUGUUUUGGUUGCCGCGUGUUCAACAAGGAGAACCUGGAAUAAGAGAGAAUCUCAGGAAAUGCAGGAAGAUACAUGCAGAACAUCCAUACCCCUUUCAGAGAGCUGCAAGAAUCGAUCCAUACUUGCCCCAGCAUUGCAAGGUUGCGUCUUACUGUGGGUCCUUUGUCACUGCCAGUGGACAUCCUUCUGCUGCAUCAGGUGGAGUUGGGCUGAUGUUUUCUUCAUCCACAGAUAUCUCACUAUAAGGAAAAGUCUCUAAUCGUCAGGCAUAAAGCGACAGCUUGAUAUUUCCAUCUGCCUUACCUCAGUAUGCCGGUGCCGACGCAAGAUGUUAGAAUGUCCGGCACCCAUCUUGACGCUCCUGUAUGAGAAAAAAAAGGUUUACCCCUGGAAUUGUGGAAAGCAAACUAAGUCGGAUGUUACGUGCAGCAUGGAGAAAGUCACAUUUUCCCCAUAAUCCUCGGCGACAAAGAAGAUAAAAAAGACGAUUAAUCAAGAACUGAGACUGACGUCUAGAAAUAAACAGCAACCGUCCAAUUUCAUUUUUGGGUAUCCUGAUGCAGAAAGUCACAUUUUCCCAAUAAUCCUCGGCGACAAACAAGAUGAUUAAUCAAGAACUGAGACUGAUGUCUAGAAAUAAACAGCAACCAUCCAAUUUAAUUUUUGGGUUUCUUGAUGCAGUGGUCUAGUGGUUUGUCCCACAUACAUGAGUCCACAAGGACACUUUAAAGCAUAGACUACAUAGGAGGACAAGCAGGUUCUAAGAGAGGCUGAAAACUUGACGUCCUUUUUCUACUAACUAAAACCUGCCUAACUGCUUGGUGAUGAAGACGAUGAGCCCACCUGAAGCCUCUCCAAUUCACCUUAGAGGAGGGGAUAAAUCCCUUCCUGACAUUAAAGGUGGCAAUUUAACCAUU